AUGUCACCGGAUCUACCGUCUACGGAGACCUCUAUGGUCGUAGAGGCGACUAGGACAUCAGCCUCACCGCCGAAGGAAUUGGAUCCCGCCGGCGUUAGGGGUGCAGCCUCCGUCGCCGCCAUGCAAGUUGCCGCCCACGAGAAGAACGCGCUGUGGGUCAGCAACCUGCCCGCGCAUGCGUGCGAGGAGGACGUCGUGGCGUCCUUCUCCCCGCACAAGGCACUCGACUGCAUCAUCAUGCGUGUCGGGUACCGCAGCUACGCCUUCAUCAUUUUCCGCUCCAUCGCCGAGUGUCAGACCGCCCUCGAGGUGCUCCGCGGGUCCAAGGUCAAGGGCACCUUCAUCCUGAUUGAGUUCGCCUAG
rnacentral:rRNA from 1 species